rnacentral:rRNA from 1 species
AUUGAACGCUGGCGGCAUGCCUUACACAUGCAAGUCGAACGGCAGCAUGGAAGAGCUUGUUCUUCUGAUGGCGAGUGGCGAACGGGUGAGUAAAGCAUCGGAACGUACCGUGUAGUGGGGGAUAACGUAGCGAAAGUUACGCUAAUACCGCAUACGCACUGAGGUGGAAAGCAGGGGAUCGCAAGACCUUGCGCUAUACGAGCGGCCGAUGUCAGAUUAGCUAGUUGGUAGGGUAAAGGCCUACCAAGGCGACGAUCUGUAGCGGGUCUGAGAGGAUGAUCCGCCACACUGGGACUGAGACACGGCCCAGACUCCUACGGGAGGCAGCAGUGGGGAAUUUUGGACAAUGGGGGAAACCCUGAUCCAGCCAUGCCGCGUGAGUGAAGAAGGCCUCGGGUUGUUAAAGCGUCUUUCGGCUGGGAGAAAUCGCACAGGCUAAUACUCUGUGUGGAUGACGGUACCAGCACAAGAAG